rnacentral:rRNA from 1 species
UACGAAGGGGGCUAGCGUUGCUCGGAAUUACUGGGCGUAAAGCGCACGUAGGCGGCUUUCUAAGUCGGGGGUGAAAUCCUGGAGCUCAACUCCAGAACUGCCUUCGAUACUGGAAAGCUCGAGUCCGGGAGAGGUGAGUGGAACUGCGAGUGUAGAGGUGAAAUUCGUAGAUAUUCGCAAGAACACCGGUGGCGAAGGCGGCAUCCUGGACCGGUAUUGACGCUGAGGCGCGAAAGCCAGGGGAGCAAACGGGG